UCGAACGAAGUAGCAAUACUUAGUGGCAGACGGGUGAGUAACAUGUAGGUAUCUUCCCAUUGGUGAGGAAUAACACGAGGAAACUUGUGCUAAUACCUCAUAAGUCUUUACGGAGAAAGCUUUAUGCGCCAAUGGAUGAGCCUGCACUUGAUUAGUUUGUUGGUAGGGUAAUGGCCUACCAAGACAAUGAUCAAUAGCUGAUUUGAGAGGAUGAUCAGCCACAUUGGGACUGAGACACGGCCCAAACUCCUACGGGAGGCAGCAGUAGGGAAUCUUGCACAAUGGGGGAAACCCUGAUGCAGCGAUGCCGCGUGAGUGAAGAAGGCCUUUGGGUUGUAAAGCUCUUUCGUCGGGGAAGAAAAUGACUGUACCCGAAUAAGAAGGUCCGGC
rnacentral:rRNA from 1 species